GCGAGAAAGUGGCUUCGGCCAUGAGUAAAGCGGCGAACGGGUGAGUAACACGUAGGUAACCUGCCUCUUCAGCCCGGGACAACCUGUCGAAAGACGGGCUAAUACCGGAUAAGACCACGAAUCUUUCGGGUUUUGUGGUUAAUGAUGGCCUCUUCAUGAACGCUAUCACUGAGAGAUGGGCCUGCGUACCAUUAGCUAGUUGGUAGGGUAACGGCCUACCAAGGCAACGAUGGUUAGCUGAUCUGAGAGGAUGAUCAGCCACACUGGAACUGAAACACGGUCCAGACUCCUACGGGAGGCAGCAGUGGGGAAUAUUGCGCAAUGGGGGAAACCCUGACGCAGCAACGCCGCGUGAGUGAUGAAGGCCCUCGGGUCGUAAAGCUCUGUCGGAGGGGAAGAAACUACAGGUGGCUAAUAUCCACCGGUAUUGACGGUACCCUCAAAGGAAGCACCGGCUAACCACGUGCCAGCAGCCGCGGUGAUACGUGGGGUGCAAGCGUUGUUCGGAAUUACUGGGCGUAAAGCGCGUGUAGGCUGCUUUUUAUGUCAGGUGUGAAACCCUCGGCCUACCGAGGAAGUGCGCCUGAACUGAAAAGCUUGAGUAC
rnacentral:rRNA from 1 species